GACGUAGGGCGCGAGCGUUGUCCGGAUUUAUUGGGCGUAAAGAGCUCGUAGGCGGCUUGUCGCGUCGUUCGUGAAAACCUGCAGCUCAACUGCAGGCUUGCGGUCGAUACGGGCAGGCUGGAGUUCGGUAGGGGAGACUGGAAUUCCUGGUGUAGCGGUGAAAUGCGCAGAUAUCAGGAGGAACACCGGUGGCGAAGGCGGGUCUCUGGGGCCGUA
rnacentral:rRNA from 1 species